rnacentral:lncRNA from 1 species
UUUGGUAUUUUGUUUCCUUUGUUCAGAUUAUUUCUAACGCUAUUUAUGCUGGAAUUUCUAUUGCACUAAUGAUAUACUGUUUCUGUUUUGUUUUGUUUUGUUUCUGUUUGUUUUACUACUGUUUUUCACCGAACCCUAUGAGCCGAGGGUCGAUUGGAAACAGCCUCCUUACCCUGUCGGGUAGGGGUAAGGCUCGUCUACAUAUUACCCUCCCCAGACCCCACCUGGUGGGAAUACACUGGGUAGUUGUUGUUGUUGUUGUUGUAAUAUCUUACGCUAUUUAUGCUGGAAUUCAUAUUGCACUAAUGCUAUACUGUUGCUAUUUUGUUUUGUUUCUGUUUGUCUUACUACUGUUUUUCACCUAAACCUAUGCGCCGAGGGUCGAUUGGAAACAGCCUCCCUGAAGGGCAGGGGUAAGGCUAGUCUACAUAUUACCCUCCCCAGACCCCACGUGGUGGGAAUACACUGUGUAGUUGUUGUUGUUGUUGUUGUAUGCAAGGUAAUCCUAAUGCAUUCAACUUCUUUUUUGUAUAUAUAGCAUUCGCGAUUCCUACUUUUGCAUUUUACUUUUAAGGCAGUUUAUAUGGCAGUUAGAGGAUUGUUGUCCACCCAUCUCGGUCCAAUACAAAGCAAAUUUUAUGAUCAUACUAGGUUUCCACCCAUCAUUUCUUGUUUGUCUUUCAC